AUAAUUGUGCCAUUAAUGAUUGCUAUUUUGAUUACAGGAUGCAAUUGUCACUGCGGUUGGAAGCCAAUCAACGCGUUGUGAGUGGGAGCCCGCUGGUACUUUCCAAUGGUCCUUGAUUAAAAAGGAAGCUCUUGGCUAUCUUCAAGCAGCAGGAGAGGAAACAGCACGGAGAAGAUACUCAGAUGCAGCGGAAUUCAAGCAUGAAACUAAACAGCUUCUCAGAUAUUAUCUAUUCAGCCAUCUGCUUGACAGACAAUGGAUAACCUUCCAGAUUCAUGGAGCUGCAUCUGCCUUUUAAUCCAGUGGUAGUCUCCAUGGAAAUAAACAGGAGGCAUUACUUUUGGAGCAACCCAUGUAUAUGUGGCCCAGAACCAUUCCUCUUCACUCAAUACAGCUCAGACAAGCCAAAAGGUUGGAUAGCCAUGCUCUAAGGCUUCUGCUCAUCCAGAAGAGACUGCAGGGACUUCAAGUGAUCUUCGCCUCCUGCUGAACCAGAUAGGUAAAAAGGGAAAAGGUUAUAUUCUGAUAUCAUCAGGAGCAAUAUUGGGCAACUUAGGACCUCCUAUAUUUGGCCUAUGACUUUUGCAGGAAGAUCUCCAUCCUCCUCCAACAAGAAGUACACUGCCAUCCCUCCUAAAUCCAGGACUCGCAUCAAAGACAGACUGAUGGGAUGCUGUUGUGACAAGAGGAGAGGACAGGAUUGCCCACUGGAUGAGGAGUUGUGGAGCAGUACUCAAGGAAAUCCCAUCGAUCAGACCGAUUCAGCAGAGCUCUGCCGUAGGACCUGAGAAGAGGCCUGUGCUGGGACAAAACGGACCCACAGAGCUGAGCUCUGCUGUGAAGUGGGAGCACAGAGGCCCUCAGCACUCUCUGCUUCACCUGAGAAGUAUUCUGGGAGCAGCCAUGCAGAAAGAGGAGUGCUGAGCACCUGCAGGCCCCCCCUAAGGACAGAUCUCUGCAGACAGACCAAGGGAGGAUCAUCUAUCCUGCACUCAGCAGGCACAACGAUGCUGGGUCCUACCAGGAAAUGUGCUCUGACACACAGCAGCAACAAGGUUUGAACACUUUUUCCUUCGUUUCCGGGGUUUUGUGACUCAUGCCAGGAGCUGAGAGUGGAUGGAAAGUGGGGUGCUGUGCUUUUGCUGGUCCAUUCGGGCAGCUUCUGAUGGCUGUGGGAAUUAUCACUUACUGCUUUCGUGGUAGCACUGCGUAAAUGUCAAAUAGUUAUAUAUUAUUUUAUAAAUAUCCUUCAGAGACAGGAUUGAAAGUGGCUUCAGAGCUGUUCCCCGAGGGAUUUGGUCACUGUCUUACAGACAAGAAAAGAACUGCUGGGCUGGGACUUUGCCAUGACCAGGCAGCACCCCUGGGACUCUCGCAAGCUGCUCUGAUCUAAUCCUCAUGAAGCCUGACCCUUCCUUUCAAAUGAAACCUAAUCCAUCACCCCCUGAUUGUGCAAAACAUUAUCCGCUGACAAAUGCGGUGAUAGCGGUGCUAAUAGAAGCCUGAUGGAUGGCCAGGGCUGGGACUGCAGCUCUCCUGCCCAGCGACUCCUACCUGAGCUUCAGCAUCUGUGAGCAGGAGCUGGGAGAAGAGCAGUUUUUCUGGAGCUGCCCCAUACAGCCCAGCAUUUUGGCUGGUCUGUGCCAUGCCCUCCCUUCCCAGGUCUGCUAUGGGAAGGACUGCAGCCAGGCAGGGCUGCCUUCAGCUGCUGAGCUCCAAGCUCUGUUGUUUUCAUCCAGCCCAGCACGAAGGCGUAAGCUUUCCUAUUAGCUUUUAUUGUUAUUGUUAUUAUCUAAAUCGUGCAAGAAAAAGCAUUCACUGACCUAGUCUGCAAUAAACUAUAAGUGGUUCUGAAGACCAUGAAGAUGGACAACACGAGGCAGAAGUGCUGCACGCUCUGUUGAGUUUUUCAUUAGGAUUUUUCUCUCCCCCUGUCUAUUUCUCACACCCACUGGAUUAUGAAUUUACAUGCAUUAUAAUGAGAAUAACUACAAUCAUGAUAGAUAGGAUUUUUUUUUUUUAAAUCUUUAUGUAAAAAGCUACGGAACAUAAGCGAGCUGUCGAAGUUUGAAGGAAUCAGCCCCAUUUUGGUCAUACACUUUCAUAUUUCUUGUUUUGGGGAUGCAGAGUGAGUCUGGGCUGCAAUCUAAAUUCUGCGGGGAGUUGUGGUUGACGGAAAUAAACCAUGUGUUGAGGGUGCCACGUGAGCUGAACAUAAACAUGAAUUAAACCCUGCAACUGUGAAGGAACCAGGACUGCUGCAAAACUGGUGCUAAAAACAUAAAUUUAAAGCCUAAAAUAAUGGAUUGGAAGCCGGUUUAAUUGCCUCAAUAAAGGGGUAACAUGAAAGUUAUGGGUGUCAGAGCAGAUUAAAUGUACCUCAGAAAUCAGAAUAUGCUGUUGAUGCAUGAUGGAUGAAUGACAGAAGCCUGAAAGAGGCUAUUACAUCGACACAGUUGUAUAGAAAAUGUGGUUUAGUGGUUAAAAAGGGUGAGUGGAAGGCAGGGGCUCUUGCUGGGGCACAGCAGCUCCUUGUAUUGCAGUGUGAGCUUGGGCUGAAGCUUCUUUGUUGGGUUUGUUGAGUGGGAGCACCUUGCUCAGUGCCUGGGUGCUGUGCAACCUUGUUAGUAGGGCUGGAAAUCAACCUGCUCUUUGGAACGCAUCAUAUGCUAGUUAGGGCACUCAGUGCUAACACCCUUCUGUUGGCAAUGGAGCACAGGCUGGGUGUCCCCACACAGCACUGAACGUAGAUGUGCAUGUGAGACAGCAGAUAGCUCACCUAGCUUUGGGCACCUACACCUGCAUUCAGCACUUAGGCUCCUUUUGCAGUCAACAAGGAAAAUACUCCCAGCCAUUUCUGGACUGCAGUUCAUCUCACUGCUUUUAGACCUAAGCAUGGCUAUGAGAGGGGAAACCGCUAAGGAAUGGCUGCAUGGGUUUCCCAAGAGGGCACACCAAUAAGUAUAUUAGGGCAUACAGUGGAGACAUCAGUAUUAACAUGUGGGGCUAUGCCAGUGUGGUGAGACGCAGCAGAUAGGCUGAAUUCAGCUGCGUGUAGAUGAGUGCAGGACAGUGCUUGCCCACAGGGAUCCUGCUCUGCCUGCACUGUGAAUGAAUGAAAAAAUGGCUCAUGCAAGCACUGCAUGCCGAAAUCAUUGCAGGCACUUCCUCGGUGUUGCAAAACAGGAGCCGUGACUGUGCGGCUCCUGCGGUCUGUCUGCAGGUGAAGGAUGGCUGUCAGCACUGUCUGCAGCGGCUGCGGCGCAGUGUCACUUAGUCGAUAGGAGGUGACAAGGGCUCGCGGAAGGGAUGGAGUGUCACCACGCUGGCAGGCAGAGGCAGACAAACAAGAGGCUUUGAGACAAAGUGCGGUUGCCAAAUUCAUAGCGAUUUUUCUAAUAAGGUUGUGGCCAGCAGCAGGAGCACUGGGAAGGACUUGUGCCACGCAAAAAAAAAAAAAAAGCUUCCGUGCUAUCGCCCAUUUCCAGAAGGGGAGCGCUUUGGCCCAGCGCUGAUUUUCCAGGAAAAAAAGAAAACAAAUUUCCCUCCCAGCAGAAGA